UAUAUUCAUUCUUAAGACUUACCACGAUAUUUUCAAGCCACUUGCCAACCAUUAUAAAAAACUGAACUUAUUAUCAUUUUUAUUGACAGUGAAAGAAGAUAUGACAAAGGAAAGUAUACAUUUAUGAAACUAUAUUUGUCAUGAUAAUAAUCUAAUGUGAGAAUGUUUACACAAGACGAUUCGUUUAUUUGCUUGUAAUUAAGCACAAAGCUACACAGUGGAAUAUCUGUGCUCUGCAGAGAAAACUAAUGGCUUCCAAGAAACUUAUCCUAUACUAUUUAGGUUUGUUUGUUUGCAGUUAAGCACAAAGCUAUACGAUGGGCUAUCUGUGCUUUGCCCACUACGAGUUUCGCUGCGUCACUGGGGGGCUACUCUGUUCCCUUACAGUUUCAGAAAAGCAUCAAGUGUACGAAUAUAAGGUAAAGUUCGAGUUGGCUUGAAGACAGCUACACUGCAAGACUGACCACCUUCAGCAAAGUUGGGGCGUGAUAGACUUCGAAGAAAAUCUUUUGUACAAAUAAUAAUAAAAAAAUGAAUGAAACAGAAGAUCUCACUAUCACGUUAUUCUACUACACAAGAUAUUCUGUUUAGCUUAGAGAUAAUUAAUCACUCUGUAGAAAUCAAAGAAUGAUAUU